ACCAGCAUAGCAUUUGUGGGACGGUUAGUGGUCGUUCAGUGAGGGAGGCUUCGGAACAUCGCCGCCCUGGUCGUCUUUGGUGACAAAAUUUGCAAUCGAAUCUCAUUUUUGCGAUCCCGCCUGUCCAUGCUGGUUCUGGCCUUUGGCACUUGGUCAAAUAAUCUGUGAUAUAUAUUUAAAAAACGCCGAUAUAUAUACACAUACAUAAAUAUAUAGAAUUGUAUAUAUUACACGCAUAAAUACACAACAAAACCAGAGAUCGUCUAUUACAUACAGAGGUUGAGCGAGGUUGCUUUAUGAUGCCAGUAUAUGAUCGUUGUUAUUAAGAACGCCAAGAACAUGCCCGGAGCGAGUGCCCUGUGCUCAGCUGUCCGUCCUCCCACCUUGAGAAAAUCGAGCUGAAUUCCACAAUGACUGCCACCAGCGUCAUUAUGGAACUGUCCAGCCCAGCUAAACGCAAGAAGUCCGGCGGAGAGGAUCUGGCGGGUCAGGCGGCUGUCAGUGCACGGUAAGACGAGCUUCCGCCGACCGAGAGACUGUGGGAAACUGUGAGUAGGAGAGAGAGAGAGAGAGAAGGAGAGGGAGAGGGAAAGGGAGAGAGAGGAAGAGGGAGAGAGAAAGUGAGAGAGAGAGGGAGG